rnacentral:rRNA from 1 species
AGCGAACGCUGGCGGCAGGCUUAACACAUGCAAGUCGAACGGGCGUAGCAAUACGUCAGUGGCAGACGGGUGAGUAACACGUGGGAACGUACCUUUGGUUCGGAACAACUGAGGGAAACUCCAGCUAAUACCGGAUAAGCCCUUACGGGGAAAGAUUUAUCGCCGAAAGAUCGGCCCGCGUCUGAUUAGCUAGUUGGUGGGGUAAGAGCCCACCAAGGCGACGAUCAGUAGCUGGUCUGAGAGGAUGAUCAGCCACAUUGGGACUGAGACACGGCCCAAACUCCUACGGGAGGCAGCAGUGGGGAAUAUUGGACAAUGGGCGAAAGCCUGAUCCAGCCAUGCCGCGUGAGUGAUGAAGGCCCUAGGGUUGUAAAGCUCUUUUAACGGGGAAGAUAAUGACGGUACCCGUAGAAUAAGCCCCGGCUAACUUCGUGCCAGCAGCCGCGGUAAU